rnacentral:rRNA from 1 species
AACCAGCACCUCAAGUGGUCAGGAGGAUUAUUGGGCCUAAAGCACCCGUAGCCUGCUCUGUAAGUUUUCGGUUAAAUCUAUGUGCUCAACGCAUAGGCUGCCGAAAAUACUGUAUAGCUAGGGAGUGGGAGAGGUAGACGGUACUCAGUAGGAAGGGGUAAAAUCCUUUGAUCUAUUGAUGACCACCUGUGGCGAAGGCGGUCUACCAGAACACGUUCGACGGUGAGGGAUGAAAGCUGGGGGAGCAAACCGG